rnacentral:sRNA from 1 species
AACACACAUAUACGGAGUUUAUUAUUUCUUUCUUUAGUUUUCUAUCUGUAAUCUGUGUGACCGGAGCAUUGUACAUAAACACACGUUACUAUCCUAUUAUAUUAUUUGGGAAGUACAUUUUAAAUGUAACCUUAAUUUUUGUAAUUAAUUACGUGAUAAUGCCAUUAGAAAAAUUUAAUCAAAAACAAAAUCCUUUAAUAACGUCAUUAAAGUUACCAAAAUCAUUUAAUGAUAAUAUUCAUCUCUUAAUUAUAGGCAUUAUUGGAUCUAAAGACGGGUCAUCAAAGAUUUUCUAAACUGAAGCAAAAUAUACUGAAUAUUCAAUUAUUUAUCUGUUACCAAAUUAUAAACAAAUAAGUUCGUAAAACAAUUUAAAAUUUUAUAUACGAAAUCAAUUAAAUCUUAAUCACAUAAAAAUUAGCACAAAAAAAA